AUGCAGAUGACGAGUCUCAAACAGGACGAAAUGCGCGUCAUCCUGGAU
rnacentral:hammerhead_ribozyme from 1 species